rnacentral:lncRNA from 1 species
CAAAACUAGGCUUGACUCGCUUAUGGACUCUCCAGUAUAGUCGCCAGCUGAAGCUACGUGAAAAAUACCUAGCACAUCACACGCUCAAAGAUACAACAGAUUCUCUAGUGAGCUUUAUUUAUUCCCCGAGGAAAGGGAAAACAUCGAUAAAACCCAGGGGAAGAUAAAAAGGGUAAGGAAUUUGGUUAUGCAAGGGGAAUGUAUUAGCACCUCUCAC